rnacentral:rRNA from 1 species
AUACAGAGGGUGCAAGCGUUAAUCGGAUUUACUGGGCGUAAAGCGCGCGUAGGCGGCUAAUUAAGUCAAAUGUGAAAUCCCCGAGCUUAACUUGGGAAUUGCAUUCGAUACUGGUUAGCUAGAGUGUGGGAGAGGAUGGUAGAAUUCCAGGUGUAGCGGUGAAAUGCGUAGAGAUCUGGAGGAAUACCGAUGGCGAAGGCAGCCAUCUGGCCUAACACUGACGCUGAGGUGCGAAAGCAUGGGGAGCAAACAGGAUUAGAAACCCCUGUAGUCC